UAGGCAAAUCAGUCUAUCGCUGUUCGUCUUCGGAUGAAGAGAGGAAAGUCCGGGCAGUAUAGAGCAUCGUACUUCCUAACGGGAAGGUCUCAUAGAACCAAUUUUAUGGGAACAGAAAGUGCCGCAGAAAGGAAAACUACCUAGAGAAGUUCGCUUUUUUAGGAAAAGGUGAAAAGGUGAGGUAAGAGCUCACCGCGUUAUUGGUGACACUAACGGCAAGGUAAACCUUACGAACUGAAAGACCAAAUAUACCGAGGCUUGAGGGUUGCUCGCCCAAUCUCGGAGGGUAGGUUGAUGGAUCCUAUGUGUGAAUGUAGGACUAGAUAAAUGAUAGAUACAAAGUUGUUUAAUCAACAAUGGACACAGAACCCGGCUUAUGAUUUGCCUUUUAU
rnacentral:RNase_P_RNA from 1 species